GACGCGCUGGACAUUGCCAUCAACUACCGCGAGUACUCGUCCUGGGAGGAAAUGCCGGGAGCGGGCGUCUGCGGCAUCGCCUUGCGCAAGCCGUGAUGAAAAGCGUGCCAUCGGCGCGCCUGGCGACGAACCAAGAGCAAGCGUUCCGCUCGUCUCGCUCCUGCUGUCAAAGGCGAAAUCGGCGGCCUUUCUAAGCGCCUGUGGAAGCAAUCGGAGGCCGGAUUCGAGUCUGAAAAAGUGGCGCGCCCGGAGGGAUCGAACUCCCCCGAUCCUCGGUCCCGAAAGACCGGUCUGGGCCACGGCAACGAGUCGCAACGAGCGGAUGUGAGACACAAUUUGGGUCAGCAAACAGGUGCUCUGAGACUCGUGACGGCAACGCGCGAGGCGUCCGCUUGUAGCCCGCACAUUCGGACCGCGGCCUCGCAGUUUCAAUCCUCACCCGAUUGAGAGA
rnacentral:misc_RNA from 1 species